UGACUAUGUUAAUUUCUGUGAUGUUGUCUCUUUUGAUGCUACCUAUGUUAGGAACAAAUAUAAGAUGCCUCUUACUCUUUUUGUUGGAGUGAACCAACACUGUCAAUUCAUGUUACUUGGAUGUGCUCUGCUAUCAGAAGAAAGUGCAACAACCUAUUCUUGGUUAAUGCGGACUUGGCUGAGAGCAAUGGGUGGGCAAGCCCCCAAAGUUAUAAUAACUGACCAAGAUAAAGCCUUGAAAUCGGCCNUCAUUUCUGAGGUCUUUCCAAAUGCUCAUCAUUAUUUCUUUUUGUGGAACAUGUUGGGGAAGGUGUCUGAAAAUCUGAGUCAAGUAAUUAAACGGCAUGAAAAUUUUAUGGCAAAAUUUGAAAAAUGCAUCUUCAGGUCAUGGACAAAUGAUGAGUUUGUAAAAAGAUGGUUGAAAAUUCUUGAUAGAUUUGAGCUUAGAGAGAAUGAUGUAAUGCAAUCAUUGUUUGAAGAUCGAGAGCUGUGGGUGCCAAUCUACAUGAGGGAUGCUAUUUUGGCUGGCAUGUCAACCGUUCUGCGGUCUGAGAGUCUAAACUCCUACUUUGAUAAGUAUGUGCAUAAGAAAACCACUGUGCAAGAGUUUGUGAAACAGUAUGAAGCAAUUCUACAAGACAGGUAUGAAGAGGAAGCAAAAGCAGAUUCUGAUACAUGGAAUAAACAACCUACAUUAAAAUCUCCAUCGCCUUUGGAAAAGAGUGUUUCAGGGGUCUACACACAUGCAGUAUUCAAGAAAUUUCAAGUUGAGGUCUUGGGUGUAACUGCUUGCCACCCUAAAAUGGAAAGCCAAGAUGAGACAAGUGUUAGUUUUAGAGUUCAAGAUUUGGAAAAGCACCAGGAUUUUACUGUUGUGUGGAAUCAGAUAAGGUCAGAAGUGGCUUGCAUAUGCCGACUAUACGAGUACAAGGGUUAUCUCUGUAGACAUUCUCUGGUUGUUCUUCAGAUGUGUCAACAGUCUGCAAUUCCAUCCCAGUACAUUUUGAAACGUUGGACAAAAGAUGUGAAGAGCAGACAUUUUUUGGGGGAAGAAUCUGAACAGGUACAAUCAAGGGUGCAAAGGUACAAUGACUUAUGCCAACGGGCACUAAAAUUGAGUGAAGAGGGAUCAUUGUCUCAAGAGAGUUACAAUAUUGCAUUUCGUGCUCUUGAAGAAGCCUUUGGAAACUGUAUCAGUGCUAAUAAUUCUAGCAAGACUCUUGCAGAAGCUGGUACCUCAGCUACUCAUGGUUUGCUCUGCAUCGAGGAAGAUAAUCAAAGCAGAAGUAUGAACAAGACAAAUAAGAAAAAGAAUCCAACUAAGAAAAGAAAGGUGAACUCUGAGCAGGAGGUUACUACUGUUGGGGCAGAAGACAGCUUGCAACAAAUGGACAAAUUAAGAUCAAGAGCAGUAACCUUAGACGGCUAUUAUGGAGCACAACCAAGUGUGCCAGGGAUGGUGCAACUGAACUUAAUGGCGCCACGGGAUAAUUUCUAUGGGAAUCAACAGACUAUACAGGGGCUGGGACAGUUGAACUCAAUAGCACCAAGUCAUGAUGGUUACUACAAUGCCCAACAAAGCAUGCAUGGGAUGGGACAGAUGGAUUUCUUCCGUACACCAACUGGUUUCAGUUAUGGCAUCCGGCAGGAUGACCCCAAUGUGAGAACAGCACAGUUGCACGAUAAUGCCUCCAGACAUGCAUGACAAGCAUCUCUGUCGCAAUGAAGGUAGUUCGCAUUUGAAAACACUUGUGUUGAUUCUUGUAGCCUAAGGUGAGCAUCAAGAACCUUUUGCUAUCUUUGUAGGCGAGGAGGAAAGGAAAUUUGUUUUUGUUUUGUAGCAGAAAAGGUUUACUGAAGCUGGAAUUUCUGUAAAGAAUGAAAUGUAUCAUGCAUUGAGGAUGGCAGGAUUAGAUUAAAAACAGAACUUCUGUAGUGUCUGUAAAAUAAGAUAGAGUAGGACAUUUUCACCUUGACAACUUAGCAUGAUAGUUCAAAGUUGGAUCAGAUUCAAGUUGUUGGGGUGAAAUCCCUCCUGUAAAGGGUGUAUUAUUGUAGCAGCGGUGAUUGUUUAACUGAUUUGUGUCCAUGAAUAUUUUUCAAACUUAUUUUCCAUCCUC
rnacentral:misc_RNA from 1 species